rnacentral:rRNA from 1 species
AUUGAACGCUGGCGGCAUGCCUUACACAUGCAAGUCGAACGGCAGCGCGGACUUCGGUCUGGCGGCGAGUGGCGAACGGGUGAGUAAUACAUCGGAACGUACCCUGUUGUGGGGGAUAACUAGUCGAAAGAUUAGCUAAUACCGCAACCGACCUGAGGGUGAAAGUGGGGGACCGCAAGGCCUCACGCAGCAGGAGCGGCCGAUGUCUGAUUAGCUAGUUGGUGGGGUAAAGGCCCACCAAGGCGACGAUCAGUAGCUGGUCUGAGAGGACGAUCAGCCACACUGGGACUGAGACACGGCCCAGACUCCUACGGGAGGCAGCAGUGGGGAAUUUUGGACAAUGGGGGCAACCCUGAUCCAGCAAUGCCGCGUGUGUGAAGAAGGCCUUCGGGUUGUAAAGCACUUUUGUCCGGAAAGAAAUCGCGCUGGUUAAUACCUGGCGUGGAUGACGGUACCGGAAGAAUAAGCACCGGCUAACUACGUG